GUGUCAGCCGCCGCGGUAAAACGUAGGAGGCAAGCGUUAUCCGGAGUUACUGGGCGUAAAGCGCGUGUAGGUGGAUCGGUAAGUUACUUAUAAAAGCUCCUGGCUAAACUAGGAGAGGUUGAGUGAUACUGCCAGUCUUGAAUAGAGGAGAGGUUGACGGAAUUCCGCGUGUAGUGGUGAAAUGCGUAGAGAUGCGGAAGAACACCAGUGGCGAAGGCGGUCAACUGGCCUCAUAUUGACACUCAGACGCGAAGGCAUGGGUAGCGAACGGGAUUAGAAACCCCUGUAGUCC
rnacentral:rRNA from 1 species